rnacentral:rRNA from 1 species
CCGCCGGCGACCGGCGCACGGGUGAGUAACACGUAUGCAACCUGGCCGUGACAGAUGGAUAACCGGGAGAAAUCCCGCCUAAUACAACAUAAUGCCGGGAGGGGGACAUCCCCUGCCGGCCAAAGGGGGCGACCCCGGUCACGGAUGGGCAUGCGGCGCAUUAGGUAGUUGGUGGGGCAACGGCCCACCAAGCCGACGAUGCGUAGGGGUUCUGAGAGGAAGGUCCCCCACACUGGUACUGAGACACGGACCAGACUCCUACGGGAGGCAGCAG